rnacentral:rRNA from 1 species
UUGAAUUGUGGAGUAUGGCCACGGGAUUCAGUCCUUUUCCCACGGUCUAGGAACGUCCCGACCAUACUCCGAGAACGUCAGAAACUAAGAUCACGGAAGCGUUUUUUACAAACUGCCACCGACUACGCGAGCAAUGUUCGCUGGUGGACGUCCGUGUUUUUUACUGUGACUAAAGAAGUGCGACCAAGGCAGUCCAUCGACAUGAAUUAGAAAGCAUGGGAUAACAAAGCAGCAGCCUAUGAGCUACCGUUUAGGCUUUUGUUGGUUUUAAGGGUUCGUGGGAGAUUACGGGCGUGUAGGACCGGCGUUGGGGGUUUUCCAAGAUCUCCGCGUCUCCUCCUGGCAUCGGAAACGGUGCUUGCGGGGCCUGCUUCGCUCAGGAAUGAAGGAGGGUUGCUCGGGGGAAAACGUACUUGGGCGUGAGAGGUGAAAUUCUUAGACCGCCCAAAGACGAACUACAGCGAAGGCAUUUUCCAAGGAUACCUUCCUCAAUCAAGAACCAAAGUGUGG